rnacentral:rRNA from 1 species
GAUGAACGCUGGCGGCGUGCCUAAUACAUGCAAGUCGAGCGAACAGACGAGGAGCUUGCUCCUCUGACGUUAGCGGCGGACGGGUGAGUAACACGUGGAUAACCUACCUAUAAGACUGGGAUAACUUCGGGAAACCGGAGCUAAUACCGGAUAAUAUAUUUAACCGCAUGGUUCAAUAGUGAAAGACGGUUUUGCUGUCACUUAUAGAUGGAUCCGCGCCGCAUUAGCUAGUUGGUAAGGUAACGGCUUACCAAGGCAACGAUGCGUAGCCGACAUGAGAGGGUGAUCGGCCACACUGGAACUGAGAAACGGUCAAGACUCCUACGGGAGGAAGCAGUAGGGAAUAUUCCGCAAUGGGCGAAAGCAUGACGGAGCAACGCCGCGUGAGUGAUGAAGGUCUUCGGAUCGUAAAACUCUGUUAUUAGGGAAGAACAAAUGUGUAAGUAACUAUGCACGUAUUGACGGUACCUAAUCAGAAAGCCACGGCUAACUACGUG